CCGUCUACUAAAAAAGCUAAAAAAGGGGAGUAUAGAGGAAAGUGAAUUUGCAAAGAUGACCGGGACAGAAGAGUUGCUAUAAAGUGCAUUAUGCAGAUCACGAUUCUGCAAGUUUUGAUGGUGAUUGGGUGUUGUCAGGCCUCAAUGAAGAAAGCUACUCCCCCCAGUUUUAGUCUCUUUGGGGGGCCUAAGCAACUUGUAAGAUUCAGCUGUUGAUUUGUUAUUAUUUUCCUCUAAUGAUAUGCAUUAUUGGUGUUCUGUCAGACCUCGGAGAAAUUUCUUGCCUCAUUGGCACUCGAUACAAAAGUAUUUAAAUAAAUUUGUAGAUUUGAAGAACCGGCUCUCACGGGAGUUGCCCGUGCAUUUCUUAAAAAUUAGUAAUUUCAUAUUUGAUUUUGUUAUAUUCAGUUGAAUAAAUUAUGCCAUUAGCUAUAAAGCAACCGGUACAAAUGAAACUGAUUGGAUCCGAAUUUCCAGAAAUAUCUUGGCUUACUUGCUCUUGCUUGUGAUUGUUGGUAAAAUUUACGGAACUUAAUCGUAACAGAGAGAUGGAUAAAAGAAAUAUGCUUCUAUAAUGGUGAAGAUGUCUGAUUAAUCUCAAGCUUCAAUUUUUUCUUCACCAGCAUUUGUAGAAUAGUUGUUGAUGUACAGUCGACUGACUGACCGACUGACUGUAAGCGAUGAAGAAGACCAAGAACGAAGUCAACAAAAGCAUUUAAAGGCACAGCAAAAGCGAAGCUUCCUGCCAUGUUCCAAACUCACUGUCAAGACUUGACCUUCGUCUUCGUCUUCGUCUUCGUCUUCGUCGUCGUCCCAUGUAUCUUAAUAAUAAGAAUACUUCAUCAUCUUCUUCGGACUUACAUCAAUCGUCAAACUCUAAAAACUCUCCGCAACUCCCUCCUCUCACUUAAAAAAACUCUCCACUCCCUCGUUCUCUUCAUCACCAUGUCCAAUUCCAACGACGACUCCUCAGCCGUCGAUCCUCCUCCGUUCGACCCAUUGCAGCCGUCGAUUCCCAUCUCUUACCCCAUUAAAACCCUCCAAGAUCUUCACUCUCGCGCUUACUUUGACUCCUUUCACUACCCUUUUAAUAAGUCGACUGUUCCUCUUCAUCCUCUGAACGGUGCGUCUCCAACUCUACCUGCCAGGCCGAGGAUUUUGGUUUGCCAUGACAUGCAAGGUGGCUACGUGGAUGAUAAGUGGGUCCAAGGUGGGACCAAUGCCGACGCCUACGCUAUUUGGCAUUGGCAUUUGAUGGAUGUUUUUGUUUAUUUUUCUCAUAGUUUGGUCACUUUGCCUCCUCCUUGUUGGACUAACACUGCUCACAGACAUGGCGUUAAGGUAGUGCAAUUUCUUUUUCUUUUUCUUUUUUUUUUAAUUUAUAUUUCGUUCUUGAACAAUAAGUGCUUAGUUAGUUGAAAAUUAAAAGACAUGCCUUUUAUGUUUUGCUUUUGUUUUCUUUGCUUCUUGAUUUUAAUUUUGUGUUUGUUUAACUGUUUGUAGUGUAUGGAGUUUAAGGGAGGAAAUGAUUGAUUGUGGAUAAAAACCUCAUAUAAGCUUUUACUCUUUGUAGUGUUUGCUUUUUCUUUAUUCAACUUUAUUAAUGAUCUUUUAAUAUAAUAUGUUCAACGACAAUGUACACAUCAAGACGAUUUUCCUUUUUUCUGCGAGUUUGUGUGUGAGUAGGGGGUGGGGGGUUAAAUUCUUGAAUGAAAGAUUGAUCAAUUAUGGGAAAUGACCAUAGCUGUUAUAACAAUAAUUAUAGAGACUGAGCAGAAAUUUUUUCGGAGGGCAAGUACUAUGCUUUAAAGUUGGUGCAGUGUAAGCUCAAAAUGUCUAGAUGGUAUCUAUGAUAUGAUUACGACAUGGUGGUGCAAGGCUAUCCAAUUGGGAGUUUUUUUUGAAUUAUUAUUAUAGACCAUGAUUUGCCUUUUAUUUUUUAUUCCUUUGGUAGCUUGACAUUUUGAAUAUUGAUGGUGUACUUUAUUCUCAAUCCAUGAGAGUGGUAAGUGAAUGACUUGAGGAAUUUUAAUUGUAUAUGAUGAUAUUUCUCUUGUGCUCAUGGAAUAAUAGGUUUUAGGGACUUUCAUCACAGAAGGGGAUGAAGGAAAAGUUAUUGCCACUGAAUUGCUAUCUACAAAGGAGUCUGCUCAUACUUAUGCUGAGCGCUUGGCAGAGCUUGCGGUUGCUUUGGGCUUUGAAGGGUGGCUGGUAUAGGUUUUAUUAAAUCUCUGACUUUUCGAUUUUAUUCUAGCUUUUUUCAGUUUUAAGUACUACAUAGAGUGUCAUCUGUGCAUUCCCUUCCAGUUGUUGAUAUGGGAACUGUUACUUGCAGCUUAACAUGGAGGUUAAACUGGAUGUAGAUCAAAUCCCUAACUUGAAAGAAUUUGUCAGCCAUUUAACUCAAACUAUGCACUCCUCAGUGCCUGGAUCUUUGGUUAUCUGGUGAGUGUGAGCAUUAGGAUAUGCUACGUUCUCUUGAAUUUUGUGCUGUAGUAAUUUGUCUUAAAUUUAUAUUUUAUCGAUUAAUAUUGUUUUUGCAGGUAUGACAGUGUUACAAUUGAUGGGAAACUUGAAUGGCAAGAUCAACUGAAUGAAAAAAAUAAACCUUUCUUUGAUAUUUGUGACGGCAUAUUUGUAGACUAUAAAUGGGAGGUAAGCCCUUAUCUUUACCCCUUGUAUGGAACUUAAUGGUGGGUUCUUGUAUUCAAUAAUUCUUGGGUGCCUCGUAGGAAGACUAUCCAAAGCUUUCAGCAGCUGUUGCAGGUGAUAGGAAGUUUGAUGUCUACAUGGGAAUAGAUGUAUUUGGAAGGAACACUUUUGGAGGUGGACAAUGGCAUGUACGUGACCUGUUAACUUUAUGAGAUUUGUGAAUCUUCAUUUUAAAAGUUUCUUACAGUCUACGUUUUAAUUCUAUAUUAUAUUAUAUCUAAUCUUCCAAUUGAUUUCAUUCAAUGUGGACCCUAUUAGGAGAAGUUUGAAUUUUUCCAUCGUCUAAGUCGCUUCUAUGAAUUUUUUCUUUUUUUUAAAAAAAAAAAAGUCUCUUCUACCCACUUGUGGUGACAUACUAGUUCGGUAAGCAAGAUAAAUUAGCUCAUCUUUCUGUCAAACCAAAUUAAGAUUACCUGUUUGAUUGUUUUUCUUGUUGAAGUAGCAUACUUCGACGUAUUUCAUUUAUUGGUUGCGAAAUUAUCUUCAACUCCCAUGUAAUAUGUACUUUUGAGUCUUUACUUACUAGACAUGUUUUAAAGUAUAUUCACAUCAUGAUGCCAGAUAUUAUUAUGUAAAACAGAGUUAUGUAAAAGUUCUGGUAGUUUGAAUUUUUUGAAGUGUGGAAAGUUUUCUUUCGUAACUAUAUUCUUUGUAAAUCAGACAAAUGUCGCUCUGGAUGUGAUAAAGAAGGAUGAUGUGUCAGCUGCCAUAUUUGCUCCUGGAUGGAUCUAUGAGACUAAGCAGUCACCUGACUUUCAGACUGCUCAAAAUCAGUAAUCCUCCUAUCCUUUGUGAAAUUCCAUGAAUGUGGAAGUUCUGCGCACAUACACACACAGCUGCUAUGUAUUUUUGCUACUAUCAGUAUACCCUGUUUACUGUAUUUCACAUAGGUGGGAACAGCACUCAUCUGGGACGCCAUAUGGACCCUUUUCUUAGGAGCAUAAAUAGCUGAAAAAUGUCACUAUUCACUUCUGAACUUAUUCUCGUCUUCAAAACUUUCCUCUUUUUCCUCAUAGCAACAGAUUUUCAUAUCUUUUAGUGUUAAACCUGAACAAAUUUUCAAAAUUUGCUGAAUUCUUUCAAUGAUACUUGGGUUCCUCUUACCUGUACCUGUCCCGGAUUAUGAUUUAUGUUCUGUUUUACUACUUCAAUUAUUUGAAGAUCUUUCCAAUGCUGCUCAUCUAUAGCAGUGUAACUCUUACUUUCAUUGUUGAGAUAGUUUCCUCUAAUAUCUAUACAAUGGUUUGGUAAGCUUCAUUUUCAUAUACGUUCGUUUCUGCAGUUGGUGGUCCCUUGUUGAAAAGUCAUGGGGAAUUCUACAAAAUUACCCCAAAGUAUUACCAUUCUACUCAAAUUUUGAUCAGGUAGCAACGAUGUGAAAUUUCAUACUCUGUUCUUGUAUUUAAAACCUUAAUGCUGGGCACCAGUCAAUUGCUGCUCAUAAGAUGCCAGUUCAUAGGAUAUUGACCAUCACAACAUUGUUCAGGGUCAUGGUUUACAUAUUUCUCUUGAGGGUGAGCAAAUGUUAGACAGUCCGUGGAAUAACAUUUCUUCCCAAGGCUUUCAGGUAAGCACUGAUUAGACCUGUGUUUCUUUUGUUGUUACUUUUUGUAGUUUAAAAUUGUGGUCAUAUUGACAAUAAUAAUAUUCAUACUACUCCAGAAAUGAAAAUGUUCUACGUAAACAUGACCUGUUGUUGCUCUAGCCAUCAAACUCUUUAUCCGCUUUAACUUUCCCCUAUGCUUGUGGCAGCCUAUGCUUGAGUUUAAAGAUGACCCUAAUCCAGAUACUAUUCAAGUCCUUGUUGAGUAAGUUUUAAAGAUCGUAUAUUUCUCCUAAUAUUUGUAAAAUCUGAACUGAUUUACAGUUUCCAUUUCCAUGGAUGGUAUGCCACAUGAUAUACAUUUUCUUAUGUGGGUAAUGGGAAGUUGUCUAAGCCAUUAAGUACUGUAAUCUGAUUUGAUAAAUUUUGAUCUUUCUGUGAUACAUCAGAUUAUAGGUCUUAUCAUGAGAAUAAGAAAGUAUGUUGUCCCAAAGGAUGAAAAAUGGUCUGCUCAACCUCUUGCACAGCUCUAUUUUUCCUGCCAUCAAAACUCAAGAGCAAAGCAUCCAAAGUAAAAUUAGAUCUAAGCAUGGAAUUAGAAUACAUCAGUAUCUCCAUGUUUUGGUGGGAUUUGCUGUUAGUUGCUUAAGCUGUCAUACAUUACCUCAACAGUGCAUUCCUCGUUCACAAUCUCUAUUUUUCAUUAAUUUGUUUAGGGUAAACUUCAAUUCAUCCCUAAAUAAAAUAACCAUCUUCAAUUUACCCCUCAAAAGUGUGAAACCCCAAUUUACCCCAAUUUUCGUUCAGAAAAUGAGGGUAAAUGGAGGGCUUCUUGAGGAAUUUUUUUGUCUUCUUAACAGCAAAAGGGGGUAGAUUAAAGAUUGUCAUUCUAAGUAGGGGAUUAAUUGAAGUUUACCCAUUGAUCUAUAUUGUGCAUCAAAGCUCUGCCUCACCUAAUCAUUUAUUUGCUAUUGUAGUUUCAAGGAAGCAUCGUAUAGUGGAGGGGGGAAUGUAACGUUUAAAGGAACUCUUGAAGAGAAUGCCAGUUUCAUUGCAAGGCUUUUUCAGGCAGAGCUUCUGUUGGGGAAUUUUCCUGUUUAUAUCACAUAUUCUGUAAGCUAUUUCUUUAUAGAUCAAGAAGGAAAAUCACAAUUUCAAAUGAUUAUUACUAGCUUUAAUACUAGACUUAAGUUCUAUGUUGAUGUCUUACGUUCACCUGGCCAUUUGAUGAGAACAUUCGUGCUGAGAUUGAUUCAAUGCCUGCAUUCUGAAACUAGAAACUUAGAACAUUCUGUACACAAGCAGGCAUUAGGAUCCAUGCAAGAACUUUGAGUUACUUUUUCUUUUUCCCACCAAUUACCUUAGUAUAAUCCACAGUGUAAUUCUACUUCCAUCUAGACUAACUGUGAGAAUUACCACCAUUGCAGGUAAAAUCAGAAGAAACUUCUCUACUUGGCCUCCUUCUCGAGUUCUCUUCGGCCAGAAAAGAAAGAAAGUCAGUACUUCUUGCAUCCCGUAGAAUUGACCAAUCUUCAACCAAAUUCAGUGAAUUGAUUGUUCCACGCCAAGUUAAAAUGCUAGAAACUACCACAGAAUGGGCCACAUGGGAAGCUAGAAUUAUAAUGGAUGGAUACGCAAUAACAGGAAUCAGUGCUGUAUGCUACAUGCCAGAGCCUAGCAGGCGGACUCUAGAGUCCACAUCAAAUGUUCAAGAUAAUGCAUCAGUUCACACUCCGGCAGAAUACUUUGCAAUCCUUGGGGAUAUUUCUAUUAAAACUAGUGGACAGAACUCAGACUUCCCUCUGUCUAGUUCAUGGCUCGUUGAGGCACAAUAUGUUAAAUUUGCUUCAGAUUCUCAGGGUACUAAAACACUAAGUGCUAAGAUCAUCUGGAAACUAAAAGACGGGAAUGAUUCUGUAUUCCCCCAAUAUAAUAUCUAUCUUGGGAAACCAGCAAAACAGGCAGUCGGAAGUCUGGAUGGAAGGGUAGAGUCAACACAAGAGUAUCUUGGGGUGGCACGAGUUGAAUCAUUUUACAUUUCUAACCUCAUCAUUCCUUCAAACACUGAUACUCUCAAGUUCAUUAUUCAAGUAUGCAGUGUUGAGGGGACAAGCCAGAAUCUGGACAAGUCUCCAUUUCUUCUACUGGAUGUCAAAGAUAAGUAAUCUUAAUAUUCUAGCACUUUAUCAUCCCCUUAAAAGAAGAAUAAUGUUGUUUGUAUCUGGCAACUGUUGUAUGAUUAUUCCUUACACUAAAACUGUUCUGUGAUGACACAUUGGCAUUAGUAAUAUGUUUACCACACAACAAGCUUCUCCAUUUUUUCUACCGAAAAAGAGCAGAGCUGAGUUAGUCAAAACUGGAGACUAUCGUUUUUGGUCUAGGUAAUAUUUUUCUCGAGUUCAGUGAGUCCCCAACACAUAGACUAAACAAAGAUAUUGAAAGAGGGUAUAGGCAUACAUGGCUUGAAGAAUCAAGAACACUGGACUCUGCGCUUAGUUCCAAAACUAACUGCUAUAGAACAAUGAAAAGGAAGAGCUAUUCUGUGAACAGGGCCUUAAAUAAAUGGAACCUAUAUGAAAUAAGAAUGAUCAAGAAAUAAGAUAAUUAAUCGAAAGAAUGAAAGAUAUUUGAUUGAAUUGGUAAGUAUUAUCCUCGAGCCCUCAAAAGAGAAAAUGAGGAUUCCAUAUCUUUCUUGUCUCCCUUGAGAAUUAUAAAAAGAAAAAGAAAAAAACAUGGAAGUUGAUUUUUUUUUUUUUUAAAAAAAAAAAGGCAAGCGCGUUCCUUAGUCUUUUCAUGGUGACUUUUAAUUAAAUUCUGUUUCUUUAAACUUCAUUUGACUCUCACUUAACCUAUAUCCUGAUCUGGCCGGUGGGAAGUUCAUUCAUGUACUAAACCAAAAUGGGUCAAUUUUCUUAGAAGUUCUAUGCCUGAAUUUUGUCUUAUUUAUUAGAUAAUUAAAUCUUAUGGCUUCUUUUCGGCUGCCUUGACUUUUUCAUAAGAAUGGUCGAGUCUUUGAUGUGCAUAUUAUCAAACAGAAUCAUGUGAACUUGCACAGACAUUUAAGCUGUGAACAGUAUAUGAUGUGAAUUUUUGGUGUCAACAGUUGACACCGUCUAUGGGGAACGUUGAAAAAAAAAAACCUCAUUUCUUGAAACACAAAAUGCCUAUGGCCUCCGCCAUUUCCUUCAUAAUAGUGACUCAAGACUUGAAUGGCACUGUUCCUCUAGAUCCUCUGAAGAUGUUGGCACCAAUAAUCCCAAGGAUGACAGAGAUCAAGUUGAAAAUGAAUUAGCUCCUCUAACUUGAGGACAUGCAUUAGUGGCAAGAACAAUUAGAAUAUGCUCUCAACGACAAAUGAUAGCUCGUACAACAACUCAUAGAGGAGCUUCGCUCAACUAAGUGACCAUACCAACGAAGGGAACAAACCUACAAUGAGCACAUUUGCACAAAUUACCGACAUCAGUCUCAAGAGGUUAUAAUUGGUAGACUUGAUAAGAGACAACGCUAUGAUGAUCUCCGACGACAUGAUCAACAGCAUGAAAGUGCUCGGUGUUACGAUCAUUGAAGACAUAUUGCAGCAGAAAAAGGGAAGCAAAAAGUAAUUAUCCCGACGCUCUGGUAAUUCGUCAUGAACACUUAUUAAAUCUAGUAACGGGGAAGAAAUAGCAAGAAGAUAUAUUGGAACAUCCAUUUGGAAGUUGAAAGAAAUGAUUAACAGUAAAAAUUUGGUAAAAUCUUCGGUGAAAAAACUACUUUAAUUGGAUUACCUUUGUCAUUUUAUCAUUUUAUGAACAAUAACUUCAUUAAUUUUUUUUUUCUUAAAAAUCAAAUCUAUUAACAUGCUUUGGUUAAACAAUUCAAUUAGAUAACUAUGAGAUUAAUGCCAAACUAAUUCAUUCUAAGUUCUAGUGCAAAGACUGACGAGUGUACAAAGUUCUAAUCAAUUUAUAACCUCCUAUCUCAUCCAAGAUUUAAACACGGGUGACUAAUUAAAUAAAAAUGCUUGAAAUCACUCAACCGAAUUCUAGGUCAAACGCCUCUAUAAUCUAUACUCUAAUAUUACAUUAUUGGAAAAUAAAAAAAUAAUAUGCGAAAGUGAUUUGCAUUUAAUUAAUUAAAAUAUUAGUCUCUUACUUGAUUAAUGUUAAUACGAGUUAAAGCUUCUAAAUUGCAUCGCAAUACGAUGGUGUUUUAUAACCUACUAUUAAAAAACUUAAAAGAUUAAAUAACUGCUAACACACUAAUGGCAUAGUUAGAAUUCGUUAUUUGGGACUUCGGCACUUUUCCCACCAUUAUUGCUUGUUUUUUCAGAAAACAAGUAUUCAUACAAAUAAAAAUAUUAAAAAAAAAAUUGGAAGAACGUGAUAUUAAGAAUAAAAUAAUAGUAUAAUACUGUUUAAGUUAAACAAUUAUAUCUAAUUAACUAAAGAUACAUGGUUCUACACGAAGUUAGCCCUUCGCUAGCUAAGCCGGUGCUCCUUGCAUAUGUAGGCAGCAGCGCCUUUCAUCAUGUUGUUGCCAAGGAUUCCAGCAAUGUUCUGGUGGCGAUGAUGACGUGGAUAAGGUCGCCAUCGUUUGAGUGGGGAGCUCUCGGGUUUUGGGUUGCUUUGUGUGGUGGUUUACAAAGUAAAAUAUAGGGUACACAAACAUGGUGUUUUUAAUCACAGAAUUGAUCGAAGUUAUUUCUGAUAACAAUUUCGCAGACAUCAAUUACAGCAUCUCGUAUUUGUCUCGGUAUCUAGCAUAACACAUUGCAUAGAUCAGUUAAUGGCACAAGGAUUUCUGGCGUCAUAAGUUCUAGAUGAGGGAAUUUCGCUGCCGACUCAAUUUCACACAUCCUACCACACUUGUAACCCUUACUUCUCUUGUAAGACCACACCAUUGUGUUGAAAAGUCAAAGAGUUUUGGUUGAAAAAGAAAAGUGAGUCACAUGUAUUGUUUUUGUUUUUCAAAGUCGGCACCAAAUUGCAAACUGUAAAAUAUUUGGCAUUUGACAAUCUUGCACCAAAUGAAGAAAAAUAGAAAAGUUAGCAAAAUUUGUCAAAUUGACCGAGAUGAAGAUUGACAAAUUGCAGAGGGAUUAGGUGGAAUAGUGCAAGCUUAAAGCCUAUAAAUUGAAGCCAUUUCUUCAUUCUAAAUUAUCCCAAAAUUGUUAAGCUUAUAAGUUUAUAAGCUUUUAAGAGUUCUGAGAGUGUGAGCAAUUGAAAAGUGUGUGUGAGAAUACUAGGUGUAUUUGGGUUCUGAAAAAGUGAGAUUUCUUUACUCAAAUUUGUUAAUAAUACGAUUAUUUUUCUCUUGCUCCCAUGAAUGUAGGUUUAAUUACCGAACCACAUAAAUUUUGUGUCCAUUAUUGUUCUAUAAUUAUUUGGUGCGCUUAAUUCCGCAUUCCGCGCACAACACAUUGGACUUCCCGUAAAAUGUGAUUUACAAGGAUCAUCUUCUCCUACCUCACAGCAUUCUCAAGCAAGUCUUUCAGAAACUCAACAUCUACCUCACGCCCCUCAAACCCAAUGAAUGAUACUCCUCUAAGAUUUAAAUGAGGAUCAUCCUUGAUGUUUUGUACGUAUAUACAAGGUUCCACUGCAUGGGAUAACAGCAGACAAGGGAUUAACACAUUCGUAUCAUAAAUAUGCGAUUUGAAAAUGAAAUAGGAACACUCUUAUGGGGAAACCAUUUAACCAGACACGUGCACACAGAAUCAAAAGUGAAAUUUUAUUGUUCAGCAAUUCAAACAACAAAUAUUUCAAAUUUCAAAUCAAAAGAAGGGGAAACAUCCACCUUCAACGUGAAUUCCUAAAAUAAAGGAGAUGCUUUCAAAAAAGCAACAUGGAGAUGAUAGCAAUCUCGAUCAGCUGUAGCCAAAGUCAUUUCCAAAUGCUUCAGAUUAGGAAAUUUAGAAAUACAUAGAAGUCUCCAUAUUGGCUAAUGCACGAGGGUAAUGUAAAAAUAAAAAGAAUAAAAUUGAACCUACUUACAGUAACAGGCAUCGGGUUUACUUUCAGUGUACUUAAUUGUGGAAGAAAACUACCAACAAGCGCGUAGAUCAACUAACAUGGAUUGUUCUAGCUUAACUGGCAUUAAAAAAUUGAACCUCCAAGCACUUCAAAUAGAGUGAUCGGCCAGAGACUCUAAUACGCAUCAAUCUCUCAGUAACCUUCGGCCUUAACUCCCCAAGCAACGGACAGUAAUAUAGCAAAUAAUGAAGAGUCUCUUCAGGUAUAUCAACAUCGGUUAAACGCAGGGACAUAAGUGAACUGAAGCUGGAAGUAUCUGAAUAUGGUGAAAAAGUAUGUAACUCAUGAUCGCCUUUCUUUGACUCAUUAAAGUCUAACUCAAGCCUUUGAUGAAUCCAACUAUCAACAUCAUAAUCAGACUUAAGGGGGCAACAAAUUCUUAACUAUUGUAAAUAUUUAGUUUGAAGUAAUCCCAAAAUUGCAUCAACAAGAUUUAUAAAGUUUCGCCUUUUCACGGGAAUGAAAUAAUUAUCUUCAGAUUUGUAAUGGAUCAGAAAAAAUUGCCAAGCGCCGAAUUUAGUAGGGGUUGAUAAAGUCCAAAGAACCAGUGAAAGAUCUCCAUAAAUAUCGCCAUCUGUAUGAUAAAACGUUGGCUCUUGCUGCCUCAUCAAUUGUUAAGCGAGAUAAAAUACUUAUCAAAAUAUCAUCUGGCAAUUCACCAAUACGAUCAUCCAUGCUCUUUUUAGGGGCAAAAUGUCAAAUUUUUUAAUGUUUUGAGCUGGGGUUUAGACUAGACUCAACAGGCAUAGUCCUCAUCCUUUAGGAAAUUAUAUUAGACAAUUUAUGGAGCGUUGAUCAACGAAAUUUUGACGGACGACGUCGUUUGGUUCUAAGCGGAUUGGACUUGAUUCAAUUUUUGAAACUUCACUAAUCAAACGUUGUAAAAUAUGUACAAAAUUUUGUCGACUCUUAUCUUUAUUUUCAUCCUGUAACUUAAAAGUUGCCAUAGAAAAAAAAAUUAGUUAUUGUUGGAUUUUAAUACAUCACUAGUUAGAUCACUGUUUUUUUAUCAACGGUUUAGACUGUAGAUUGUUUAGACAAAUAUUUUGAGGAUAAAUAAUAGACUAAAAGAUUAGUGCUAUUGUCAAACUUUUGACGUUCAAUGCGUUUAACGCAUUGAUUUGCAUUUUUACAUUAACUGUAUUAUAUCUGUUUAUCUGUUAAUGUGUUAAAAAUCUGUAAUUUUUUUAUUUAUUAGUAGCAUAUUUACUCUGUUAAAAAGAAAAUAUCUUUAUUUGAUUUAUAUAUAUAUAUAUAUAUAUAUAUCUGCUGUACCUAACUACAAUUGAGCUAGAUAAAAAAAUUAUUUAUUGGUUACUACAAGUUAUAUCAUAUGUAAUUUAAUAAGAUCCACGAUGAUGAUAUUGAGUAAAAAAAAAAAUCAAAUGUGUAACUGUUAUAACAUUUAUACAACUGUUAUUUUUAAAGUUUUUUUUUAUGAUAUAAUUGUAUGGAAUGAAGAGGUGCUACCCUCGAAUAGUUGUAUCUUACAUUCGAUACAAAUUUAUCACAUGGUAAUAAGAUCGUAGUGAAAAGUCGAUGAGGACUAUUAUACAUAACAUACAACUGUUGUAAGAUUAAUGAAUGGAUGAAAUUUCUUUAUCUAGUUAGAUCAUUGCGCUUCUUUAUUCCAUUCUUCUUCCCACUUGUCCGACUUGUCUUCUUAGUGAUGUAUAUUAUACAUAACAUACAUAACAUACAAAUGUCGUAAGAAGAAGAAGAAGAAGAAGCACAAGAGCAUAAAUAAAGGUUGAUGUGCCAAUGAGUUACAGAAUAGAAAAACCUUUGUUGCAAAAUAUCUUCCUCUUAAGUUGAAGAUUGUCGGCAAAAAGUCUUGAUCUAACACAUUUUUACUUUGAAAAAAUGUUAAAAUUAUGAUUGAUGAUACAACUACAAACUCUUAUACAAAUUUAUUUUAUACAAAAUGAUGUGGCAUCAAUUCAUUGGUUGAAUGAAAACAUAAAAUAAUAUAAAUAAAUUAUGUGGGGCAAGAGAUAUUUAUUUUAACCAAUUUUAUUAUGGCACAUCAAUUUAUACAAAAUAAGUUUGUACAAGAGUUUUUGACUAUAUCAUUACUCUAAAAUUAUUUAAAUUCUGCAUUAAAGUUAAGGUUGUGAAGGCAUUAUUAGAUAAUCAGAUUUUAUCUAUUUUAUUUGAUUUUCUAAUCAUUUAGCAGUGUAACAUAUGAUACAAAUAGAUAUCAUAGUUGGACCCUACAAACAUUUAUAUUUGUUUUUUCAAUUUUUUUUUUAAUUGAACCGUGUUUAGUUAAUUGAAGCUAGGAGUCAAAUUAAGCCAUAACAGGGGUGGGUGGGUGUGCGGAUUAUUUGAUAGUCGUUGUGACUUCAUCUUAAGGGGGGAAAUUUCUAUAGAUUUAUCCGAUAAAAAGAUUAAAAAAAAUCUGAGCAUAUUUAAAAGCGCAUUACGAAUAUUUAUUAGUAACUCAAUUUUGCAUUUUUCCCUUUUUUUGACUUGCCUUUAGAGAUAUAUUUAUAUAUGUAUAUAUACACACACACCUUCGCUGUAAAAUUGAAGAUUGGGUAAGCAAUUAUGGAAGUACCCAUUAAGCCAUAAUCAAGCCACAAUUAGUAAAAGCAAGAAGUGCAGAAGGAGCGAGUGACAACUCUCACACGUGCUCCAACGCAUCAAAUUUCGCAAUUCAAAACCUGUCCCACAGACAAAAUCCUGACUCAUCACCAAUCACAUCCGUCCAUCACCAAACUCCAAUUAAAGUUUCAUCCCUGAUCUACCCUUCGCAUCACCAGCUAUUUACAUCAGCUGCCCCUUUGCGACUUUAGUUUGCUGCUAAAGCACAGAUGUCUUGUUUCAACGACCAGUCCCUAAUUUUCCAAUAAGGAUAAUCAUUUCCGUCGAAAAAUGGAGGUCUAGUGAUAGAUUGGCCUUCCAUGAUGGUUGAGCUAAUUUGGGUUCUAUGGAUCAUCAUCAUCGUCAUCAUCGUCGUCAUCAUGGUCAUCAUCAUCAUCGUCAUCAUCAUCAUCAUCAUCAUCAUCAUCAUCAUCGUCAUCGUCAUCAUCAUCGUCAUCGUCGUUAUCAUCAUCGUCGUCGUCAUCAUCAUCAUCGUCGUCGUCAUCAUGAUCAUCAUCAUCAUCAUCAUCAUGAUCAUCAUCAUCGUUGUCAUCAUCAUCAUCAUCAUCAUCGUUGUCAUCAUCAUAAUCAUAAUAAUUUGGGAAUCAGGCAGAACAUCAUAUUUGUUCAAUACAUCUCUGUUAAUGUAAUAUUGAAUUCGAGCACACAAAUAAUAGUUGUAUACAGAAUUCACGCACAAAAUUUAUAAUUUUAUUCAUGAAGAAUCAAAAACAUACUAUCAAAUUAACACAGUGAAAACCAAUUAACGGACAUCAAUCAGUCAAGCAAUCACAGGUUCGGCCUAACAAAAAUAAAUAAAUAAAUAGAACUCGUUUUCAAUCUAAUACAUAUGACGACUUCUUCUAUUAAAAAGAAAAAAAAAAGUACUAUUCAAGGUUAGUAGGGUUUAUACAUUUUGCAUCGACAGAAAGUUAAAUGAAUGACGAAGAGAAGGGCUGUUAAGUUACCAGAUACGAGCCGUCUUCUCUCCUCGAUGUCUAUGUCGGCUACUGCUUAGUGUGAUGAGAGGUUCAAGAGAAGAAAAGCUAAAGGGUUUUGCAGCCGCUUGUCUUUGUACAAUUUAUAGGGCUUUUAAACGACGUUGUUUAAUCCUUUUUACUAUUUAUGAAUGGUUUUCGUUUAUUAUGGGGAUAUUAUCAUUUAGAUCCCUGCCCAUUAAUAUUUUAUUAAUUAAAUGCAUAAUUUGCAGUGCUCUGUUAACCAAGUCCUCAUAAGAAGACCAAAUUCCCGGUCUCAGGAGUUUACGUUAGUGAGUGCUGGUCAUUGGUCUAAGAUUAAGAAACUGUUUGGUAGUUCAUUUGGAAAAAUUUUAAAAACACACAUUUAAUAUAAAUAAGUAAAUUAUAUUCUUAUUUAAUAAAAUAUCAAUACUAUGGACACUCACUUUCUAAAAUGCACCAUUCUCUACCCACCCAUAAAAUCCUAAAACCUUAAAACACCAUUACCAUGGCCAGUGCUUUCCUAAUGAGGUUGUUGGCCUACACUUCUUAUUUGCUUACCCACAUUAGUUUUUAUUGUGUGGAUUUCGAAAAAACCAUAAAUACAUGAAAACUCAAACCCACAACUUCAUUUCAAAUAGUGUACACAAAUGACUAAGCAAUAGACUCAGGACUAGUUUAGAAUUCUUGUAGUGGAUGGAAUAAGAUGUUUUAUGUUGUGCGGUUGAAAUAAGUUGCUAGUUGAAAAAAUUCAAAAUACAAGUUUGCAACCCAAGAGGGGGGGUGAAUUGGAAAUUUAAAAAUUAUCCUAGCAAAUUCACACAACAAGUAAUCUAAUGUCUUAAUAAAAAUUGAAAGCAAUAAGUUCAACAAAAGCACAAUAAUUAAAGAGUAAAGGAGAAGAGAAACAAACACAUGAAUUUUUACGUGGUUCGGCAAUCCCCGCCUAUGUCCACGCCUCCAAGCGAUCCAAACUUGAGGAUUCCACUAUCCAAGCCUUUCUAAGACUUCAAACGUUUACAAUUGACUUCAAGGUGUCAAUGAACUUUUACAACAAGAGAUUAUAUCUUCAAUCUCUUCACCCCAAGUGUUUUUCACACUUGUACUCUCACAAUUUGAUGAGAAAUGAAAAACACAACAAUGAAUCUCUCUUUAAGAGUGGAUAUACAAAUUGAAGAACAAAGAUGAUUUAAUGAAUGAUGAUUCAAGAAGUUGAAGCUCAAUAUAUGUUGUGUGCACUUGUUCUUGCUUGCUUGGAUUUGCAAAAAUGAAUUGGUUUUGAGUUUAUAUAGUUUGAACUCAAAAACUAGCCGUUACUCACAGUGCAUUAUUUUUUGAAAUUAUAGUUUGACCUCAAAACUUUACAAAACUAUACUACGGCCCAAAACGUUAUGAAACUUUACAAAUAAGUCCAAUUUCAGAAUUUCUAAAUAAUAUUUUGUUAAUCCCAAAACUUUUUGAAAUUAUGAUAUUGCCAAAGAUGCUAUGACACUUUUCAAAUAAGUCAUUUACCAAAAUUUCAAGCAAUACUUGUUUAUUUCAAAGUAUUCAAAAUUCUUUCAAUUAAACCAUAAACUUUGAAAAACAACCAAUUUCAUAAAAUCAUUUUUCCAUUAAAUAUGAAAUAUUUAUAAUGUGAAAAUAAUGAUUUAUUUAAAAAACUAAAAACAAUCAAUUUCAUAAAAUCAUUUUUCCAUUAAAUAUGAAAUAUUUAUAAUGUGAAAAUAAUGAUUUAUUUAAAAAACUAAAAACAAUCAAUUUCAUAAAAUCAUUUUUCCAUUAAAUAUGAAAUAUUUAUAAUGUGAAAAUAAUGAUUUAUUUAAAAAACUAAAAACAAUCAAUUUCAUAAAAUCAUUUUUCCAUUAAAUAUGAAAUAUUAAUAAUUUGAGCUUAAAAAAUAUAUCAUUCUUAAUCUUGUUUGUUAUCAUCAAAAUCAACAUUAUGAAAACAUAUAUGUUAACAAAAAUAACUCAGUGUUUAGUAAAUUGUGUUAUUGUAAUUACUUUCAGUUUUUUUAAAAAAAAAGUAUGUGUCUUUGGUAAAUUUAUUAUCAAAGUACUAUUUUAUUAUAUAAUGGCCUAAAUAAACAUAAGUGUAAAUUUUCUUUUGUUUGUAUAUAAGCAUAUAAGAGUUUGUGAAAAAGUAAGAUAUACUUAUCCUUUUGUUAAAAUAUUAAAAUUACAAUAAAAAAUUAAAAAAGUGUGGUACUCUAUUUAAUAAGUUGUUUAUAAAAAACUUUAAAAGUCUGCUGCAAAAAUGUAGAAACUUAUAAAAUAAAUAACAUUUUAAAAAAUUUAUCAAACACCAUUUUUACCAAAACUUAUGAAAUAAAUUAUUUAUAGCAUUUUAACUAUAAUCCCAAAGGGGGUUCUAAUGAUGGCUACUUUUGUCCAUUGACUAUAAAAUUAGUAAAAAAUAGAAAAAUAAAAAAAUUGACUAUACAACAGAACUUCAUUAAAUUAAUACUCGAUAAAUUCAUAAUCUUGAUUAAAUAAUUACUUUUUUCUCCCAACUUGGGACCAACAUGAUAACUUAAUCAUUUGAGAAGUUAUUAAAUAAAAAACUUUCAAAACAUUCUUGUUUUUCUACCGACCCAAUUAAUAGGUAUAUUAAUAAUUACCUGAAUUGAAACUAAAUAUAUAUCAUAUGUCUAUGAGGUUUUUGAUAAAUAAAUUUUCAAUGUUUCGUGCUUGAAAUUAAUUUCUGUUAUUAUACUAAUGUAAUAUGUGAAGAGGAAUAAGAGAGAGGUCAACUUAAUAUAUUUCCUCCAAGUGCUCUUCUAAUGUGUUACUAUAUAAUUGUAAUCUAGUUGUACAAUCUAAUCAAUGAAUUAUUAAGUGAUUGAUACAUUUAAACAAGAUUUAAUUAAAAUGUAUCAUACAACUUUACUCGAUGUACUCGAUGUACUAAUAUUUAUUAAAUUAAUAGAUUUUUUAUGGUUCAAAGAAUGUUAAUUUAUAGUAGUUAUACUACAUUAUUCAAUAAUAGGGUCAUGCUCAUAAUUUUCACCGCUCAAUCAUAAAAAAUUAUCUACUCAAUGGUAAAAUAUUGUUGAUAACCGUACGAUCAUAAAAAUAAAUAUUAAAUCUACACUUAUUACUAUAACGUAAGGAUCACCGUCAGUUCUCUACAGUAGAACAACUCCACUGUCUACCGAAGCCUUUGUUUUUCAUCGAGAAAUAAAUAUAAAAUUAAGGGACUGAUUUGAUAUGUUUUCAGUAGGUAUCAAUGGAUGCUAUCUGACUCCGAAUCCGCGCUUGCCUUGAACCGUUAGAAUGGAGUCCAACCCGAACAAAGCGUUAACAGAAACUCGCUUUUCCGAUUUGAAGCCGGCGCUUUCCGAGCCAGUUCUCGAAGCCUUAGCUGAAGCCGGCUUUGAGUUUUGCACGCCUGUUCAAGCUGCCACAAUCCCUUUGUUAUGCAGCUACAAGGACGUAGCCGUGGACGCCGCCACCGGCUCUGGCAAAACCCUAGCUUUUGUCGUCCCUCUAGUGGAGAUCCUCCGCCGUGCCUCUUCUGCUCGGAAACCCCACCAGGUCCAAAACAUUUUCUCAUUUGUGUUUGGCUGCCUAGAAGCUUCAGGAAAAUUAAAUUAAAACAUAGAAAUUUAUAUUUAAAUGAACUCAACGAGCUCAAAUAGCUUUUUUUUUUUUUUUACUUUUUACCCAAAAAAUGCAUAUGAUUUAUUUUUCAGUUAAAUUUUCUACAAAAACUCUUACUGAUUCUUUGAAAAGCACUUUGCGUGAGCACUUUUGCUUCUCUUAGCACCGCACUAGAAAAUAGUCAAAUAGUUCUUCUAAGUACUUGAAUAGUUUUUACUUCUAGUUGUAGUUGAUUCUAAAUAAAUUGAUUGCAUUGCACUGGCAAUUUUAUUAUGUAUCGAGUGAAUUGCAUUUGCUUUUAGUGAUUACUUUGUUGAGAAAUUAGUUUUUGAAUUGAGAGCAGAUAAUGGGGAUGAUUAUCUCACCAACAAGGGAGCUAUCAUCGCAAAUAUACCAUGUUGCACAGCCGUUCAUCUCAACUUUACCGGAUGUUAAGUCUGUGCUUCUUGUGGGAGGUGUGGAGGUGAAAGCAGAUGUGAAGAAAAUAGAGGAAGAAGGAGCAAAUUUGUUGAUCGGGACACCUGGGAGGCUAUAUGAUAUAAUGGAACGUAUGGAUGUCUUGGAUUUUCGGAACCUUGAGGUAGUUGCUUGGAUGUUUGAUUCUCUAUAAUGUAUUAAUUUCUAAUCUUGGUUUGGAUAGAGAUUGAUGAUCUUCAUUGUCUUUUCUAUUUUAUGGAAAUCUUGGCUUCAAUUCACACCUUGUUUUUGUUGUUAGUGAUUAUCUAGAGGACUUUUAAUCCAUGUUGCUGAAUUUAUAGUUUGUCAGUUGACAAUGCACAAUGAGUGCAAGGAUCAGUAGCCUCUGGAUUUGUUUAAUGAAGACUUAACUAGACAAUUGACAGAUGUUUAAUGAUUAUGACUGAAGAUUACACUAAUUUAGAAUGUAAUUUUUGAACAAUUUUUCACAAAGAUAAUACUUGGAUCCUGUACUUUGGUGACCUUACAGCUUCAUCUUGCUGGUUGUGCAGAUUUUGGUUCUAGAUGAGGCUGACAGGCUCUUGGAUAUGGGAUUCCAGAAACAGAUCAGUUACAUCAUAUCUCGCCUGCCUAAACUUCGUAGAACUGGCCUUUUUUCAGCUACUCAAACUGAGGCAGUUGAAGAGCUAUCCAAAGCAGGGCUGAGGAAUCCUGUGAGGGUUGAAGUGCGAGCAGAAUCAAAAUCACAUCAUGUAUCGGCAUCAUCGCAGCAACUAGCCUCUUCGAAAACACCUUUAGGCCUUCAUCUUGAGGUGUUGUGUGUGAAUAUAUUUUGGUUGCAAUUUACGUUGCAUGUGGUUAAACAGAAUUGAAGCCAAAUAAACUCAAAUAAUGAUUUUUGGAAUUUUAAUUUGACAUAUUAGAUCCUGGAAGACAUUUAUUGAAUCUGGAAGUCACUUGAAUUAAUUUUUUAUCCUCUUCUUCAAAGCCAUAAAGCAAACUCUGGGUUGUGCUAAAUAUUCAUGUUUGAUGUCAUUUCAGACUAAUUGGAUUUCCCCCCCCUAAUUUGACAAAAAUAGUAACCCUUUGUUAUGAUUUGAACACUAAUAGUCUUUGUAAGUUCUGCAUUUAUUCUGAAUUAAUUUCUCCUCUGAUUCUGCAGUAUUUGGAAUGUGAACCAGAUGAGAAACCAUCACAACUUGUUGAUCUGCUUAUAAAGAACAAGUCUAAAAAGAUUAUAAUGUAAGUUCAGCAUGGAAAUUUCUCAGAGGAUGGAUGAUGCUAUCUUUUUGUAGUUAAUGGCCUAUGAUUAAUCAUAAUUUCAUAAUAGGAUUAAUGUAUGUCUUCAGAUAUUUCAUGACUUGUGCUUGUGUUGACUACUGGGGAGUUGUUCUUCCACGUCUGGCUGUUUUGAAGAGUCUCUCGUUGAUUCCUCUUCAUGGAAAGAUGAAGCAGGUAGGAUGUUAGUUAUUGAAAUAUCCUCAGAAUCUUAUAUUACAAUUUCAGAAGUCGGCUGGUGUAUAUUAUUACUCAUUUUGAUUGAUUUUGAUUACAAAUAGACUGCUAGGGAGAAAGCAUUAGCUUCAUUUACAUCUCUUUCAAGUGGCAUUCUUCUAUGUACGGAUGUUGCUGCACGUGGACUUGACAUUCCUGGUGUUGAUUGUAUAGUGCAGGUGACUUUGUAAAUUGCAGAAAAGUAGACCAGUCAUUAUCCGUGUUACUUUAUGUGUGGUGGUUAAUGUGUUUGUUAUCUUGCAGUAUGAUCCCCCUCAAGAUCCAAAUGUUUUCGUUCACAGAGUUGGUCGAACUGCUAGGUUGGGUAGACAAGGGCGCUCCAUUGUUUUCCUAUCACCCAAGGUGUCUUUCACCCGCAUACUGACUCCCUUAUCAUGUACUAUUCUUGUUAAAGAAAAAUUUCUAGGGAAAUUAAUUUAAUUAUACUUGUUCAGGAGGAAGCUUAUGUAGAAUUCCUGCGGAUAAGAAGGGUUCCUCUUCAAGAGAGGAAAUGCUCUGAUGAUGCUUCUGAUGUAGUUCCUGAGGUGAUCAUGAUUUCUAUCUUAUUCUCUUCCAUUGUUUUUGGUUUUGGAAAUUUGUUCUAUAUAUUCCGGUGUGUAGUGAGAAGAAAAUGGUUGAUCCAACAUAGUAUCAAAACUUGUUUCAGAUUCGAUCUGCAGCAAAAAAAGACCGUGAUGUCAUGGAGAAAGGUCUCAGAGCAUUUGUUUCUUAUAUACGUGCAUAUAAAGAGCAUCACUGCUCGUAUAUCUUCAGGUCACUACUGCCUUCUAUCCAUAAUUUCUCUCUGCAUUUUUUAUUGUUUCGUUAUAAUGUUUUUUAUCCAUCAUAUUAUAUAGGUGGAAAGAACUUGAGGUCGGGAAAUUGGCUAUGGGUUAUGGCUUACUACAACUUCCUUCAAUGUCUGAGGUAAAGAUCCAUUCUCUUUCCACCAAGGGUUUCGUCCCAGUUAAAGACAUCAAGUUGGAGGACAUCAAGUACAAGUAAGAACUAACAAUGUGUUAUCAAAAUUUGUUGAUUAAAUAGAAUCAAAGAGCCUAAUAAUUUGCAUUGACAAUUGACAUGGAAGUCAUCAUAGAGGAAGAAACCCCAUAUUCGAUUUGUGAAUUUCUUAAAUGCUUUCACUUCACAACCAGUCUUCUUCUUUUUCAUUUAGCAAGAUAUUGACUUCUUUCAAUAUUUUUAAAAGAUAAAUUUAUUUUUUCAACCAAGUUCAGACAGACCAUUGUUCAAAACCUUUUUGGUUUCCAAGGCAAACUUGCAGCAAAAUUAGCUGAAUUUCUUUUGCCUCUUUUUUCAGUAUUGAAAGGAAAAUGAUGGGAAACCUUAUGAUUUUUGUAUAAGAAUCAUCCAACAUCACAUUCCUCUUAUCAUUUAUGCUUUUUCACAUAUGCAGCAUUGAUGGAAUUAUUUAUUUUUUUAAGAUCUGUGUAAGCCUGUGAUCAUAGCUGAUAACUAUAUUAAAUCAGGGUAAAUCACGUGAGAAACAAAGGAAGAAGAAUUUGCAAGCAAAGAAAGAGGCACAGCAGCAAGAACCAAAACGACAGAAACCGAACAAGGCCUCAGAUGCUGCAACUACUGUGAUGAGGAAGAAAACAGCAAAACAGAGACGUGCUACCCAGGCAAUCGAAGACGAAGAUGAGCUGGCCCGGGAUUACCGCCUAUUAAAAAAGCUAAAAAAGGGUAGUAUAGAUGAAAGUGAAUUUGCAAAGAUGACGGGGACAGAAGAGUUGCUAUAAGUGCAUCAUGCAGGUCAUGAUUCUGCAAGUUUUGAUGUUGAUUGGGUGUUGUCAGCCCUCAAUGAGAAGAAAUCUUAACCUGCCGUCUGGUUGUGCCCCAACCCAUGUAAAGCUUGUUUUGCCCUCCUCUAAUGAUAUGCAUUAUUGGUGUUCUGUCACACCUCAGGGAAAUUUCUUGCCCCAUUGGCACUUAAUACAAAAAUAUUUAAAUAAUUUUGUAGAUUAGAAGAACUGUCUCUCACUGGAGUUCCCUGUGCAUUUCUUAAUAAUCAGUAAUUCUGUAUUUGAUCUUGUUAUAUUCAGUUGAAUAAAUUAUGCCAUUCGCUAUGAAGUAACCAUGACUUUAAAGCAUGUGAUAAACACCGGUACAAAUGAAAUUGAUUGGAUCCGAAUUUCCAGAAAUAUCUUAGCUUACUUGCUCUUCCUUGUGAUUGUUGGUAAAAUUUACGGAACUGAAUAGUAACAGAGAGAUGGAUGAAAGAAAUAUGCUUCUAUAAUGGUGAAGGUGUCUGAGUAGUCUCAAGCUUCAAUGUUAUAUUCACCAGCACUUGUAGAAUAGUUGUUGAUGUACAGUCGACUGACUGACUGACUGACUGUAAGCGAUGACGAAGACCAAGAACGAAGUCAACAAAAGCAUUUAAAGGCACAGCAAAAGCGAAGCUUCCUGCCAUGUUCCAAACUCACUGUCAAGACUUGACCUUCGUCUUCGUCUUCGUCGUCGUCCCAUGUAUCUUAAUAAUAAUAAUACUUCAUCAUCUUCUUCGGACUUACAUCAAUCGUCAAACUCUAAAAACUCUCCGCAACUCCCUCCUCUCACUUAAAAAAACUCUCCACUCCCUCGUUCUCUUCAUCACCAUGUCCAAUUCCAACGACGACUCCUCAGCCGUCGAUCCUCCUCCGUUCGACCCAUUGCAGCCGUCGAUUCCCAUCUCUUACCCCAUUAAAACCCUCCAAGAUCUUCACUCUCGCGCUUACUUUGACUCCUUUCACUACCCUUUUAAUAAGUCGACUGUUCCUCUUCAUCCUCUGAACGGUGCGUCUCCAACUCUACCUGCCAGGCCGAGGAUUUUGGUUUGCCAUGACAUGCAAGGUGGCUACGUGGAUGAUAAGUGGGUCCAAGGUGGGACCAAUGCCGACGCCUACGCUAUUUGGCAUUGGCAUUUGAUGGAUGUUUUUGUUUAUUUUUCUCAUAGUUUGGUCACUUUGCCUCCUCCUUGUUGGACUAACACUGCUCACAGACAUGGCGUUAAGGUAGUGCAAUUUCUUUUUCUUUUUCUUUUUUUUUUAAUUUAUAUUUCGUUCUUGAACAAUAAGUGCUUAGUUAGUUGAAAAUUAAAAGACAUGCCUUUUAUGUUUUGCUUUUGUUUUCUUUGCUUCUUGCCUAAUAAUUUGCAUUGACAAUUGACAUGGAAGUCAUCAUAGAGGAAGAAACCCCAUAUUCGAUUUGUGAAUUUCUUAAAUGCUUUCACUUCACAACCAGUCUUCUUCUUUUUCAUUUAGCAAGAUAUUGACUUCUUUCAAUAUUUUUAAAAGAUAAAUUUAUUUUUUCAACCAAGUUCAGACAGACCAUUGUUCAAAACCUUUUUGGUUUCCAAGGCAAACUUGCAGCAAAAUUAGCUGAAUUUCUUUUGCCUCUUUUUUCAGUAUUGAAAGGAAAAUGAUGGGAAACCUUAUGAUUUUUGUAUAAGAAUCAUCCAACAUCACAUUCCUCUUAUCAUUUAUGCUUUUUCACAUAUGCAGCAUUGAUGGAAUUAAUUUUUAUUUUUUUAUUUUUAAGAUCUGUGUACGCCUGUGACCAUAGCUGAUAACUAUAUUAAAUCAGGGAUAAAUCACGUGAGAAACAAAGGAAGAAGAAUUUGCAAGCAAAGAAAGAGGCACAGCAGAAAGAACCAAAACGACAGAAACCAAACAAGGCCUCAGAUGCUGCAACUACUGUGAUGAGGAAGAAAACAGCAAAACAGAGACGUGCUACCCAGGCAAUCGAAGACGAAGAUGAGCUGGCCCGGGAUUACCGCCUAUUAAAAAAGCUAAAAAAGGGUAGUAUAGAUGAAAGUGAAUUUGCAAAGAUGACGGGGACAGAAGAGUUGCUAUAAGUGCAUCAUGCAGGUCAUGAUUCUGCAAGUUUUGAUGUUGAUUGGGUGUUGUCAGCCCUCAAUGAGAAGAAAUCUUAACCUGCCGUCUGGUUGUGCCCCAACCCAUGUAAAGCUUGUUUUGCCCUCCUCUAAUGAUAUGCAUUAUUGGUGUUCUGUCACACCUCAGGGAAAUUUCUUGCCCCAUUGGCACUUAAUACAAAAAUAUUUAAAUAAUUUUGUAGAUUAGAAGAACUGUCUCUCACUGGAGUUCCCUGUGCAUUUCUUAAUAAUCAGUAAUUCUGUAUUUGAUCUUGUUAUAUUCAGUUGAAUA
rnacentral:lncRNA from 1 species